AUUCAUGUUUGCAUGUAAAUAAAGCAAGAGCCACAAACAAAGCCAGCAAUCUCACAUACUUGCCUUCAGUGGUAAAGGAUGGAAAGGCUGCCUGCUACCAAUCAGCAAGUGGUUGCUAUGGUUACAAGGUCAGGAAAUAUGCCUUUUCCCCAGUUGUCCAAGGCUUGCACAUGUCACUUCUGAAACUAUGAAUUUUAUAUACAGGUCAGGAGAUGCAUACCAAAGAAAUAAACAGUGAACUGGACCAUAAUGACAGCUAACGUUCAAACGUCCUUGAAUUUUUUAAAUUUCUAUCCAAACACAUUUUGUCAUUUUGAAUGGGUUGGGGUUUUUUGUAUAAAAUUGGAGCAAUUCUUUCCUGUAAUGAAAUUUUGCAAAGUAGGUACAAACUAUACCUCAUUAUUAUAAGCUGCAUCAAUAACUUGUCUCUGAAAGAUACUUAUGUUCUUUCCCUUUAUUUUUUUAAACUCUUUAAAUUACAGCUUUGGAACAUUAUAAGAAUAUAAUUUGAUGCAACUUAAGAACUCAGAGUAAUAACUACUUUCUGAAAAACAGAUUUAAUAAUGCUGUAUUUAUCUGUAGACAAGAUGGUGGUUAAGCUGUUAAUGAAAUGCAGAUGGUCCUGUUUUAAAGUACAAGUUCUUCUUUAGUCAAUAUGCUAUGCUUUAGGGGAGUUUUAGUAUAAUCUCUAAAGAUUGAAAAUGAUAUAGUAUUUGUAAAAUGAGUGAAUUGUGAAAGAAACCUUUAUUGUUUAUGUGUCGUUGAAGAAUUUACUAGGAAAAUUAGUCAAGGGCUCUCGGGGGACUUAGCAUUUUCCUACAGAUAAGAAAGAAGUGACUAUGGAGAGCUGUCUGGUAUUCUGGAUGAAGAAGAAUGAAAAUAACACUGAACAAAGUGCUCUUCUGGAGAACCAACCUGAAGGAAAGAAGAACGCUGAUUGGAACAGGAAUAGAGGAAAGAAACAAGGAUAAUCAGGGAAGGAGGAGAGACACUGCAAGAGAUUGGAAUGUUCAGUCUAAAAGAAUGAAAGCUAAACACAGAACAUCAGAAUUUUUAAACAGCAGGCAAUUGGGUGUCAACUUUCUCAACUGUUCCUGAACAAAUUUUUGUCUGGAAAUAGUAAGAUGAUUUCUGCCUAUCACAGAUUCUGAAACAUACUUUUGAUGAGAGAAGGAACUAAGUUCCCAAUCAAUUAAGAUACCAGUAGAUGAACAGGAUGACACAUCAUGUGCUUUUGUGAUAGCAGAGACUUGAUAUGAUGAGACAGUUUUCCCUUACGGUCUAAAAUCAAGAAGUAAAUUAUUAUAAUUUUAAAAACUUAGUAAAAUAUACACAUUGAUUGGAGCAGCAAGUUCAAGGCACAGAACAAAUAACUCAGAUCUGUUAAAAUAUCUUACUCAGCCCACCCAACAAAAAGUCUGAAUUAAGCUUUUUCAGUAUUAAAACCUAAUAAUACCUUCAGUUCUCUGAAAAGUUGUAACUGAUCUGGCUAGGCUGUAGUUUUUGGCAAAUUAUUUUGCUGAUUGAAAGUUUCUCUUAUUUUUGUAU
rnacentral:lncRNA from 1 species